rnacentral:precursor_RNA from 11 species
AUACUUCGUUGCUCACGUACUGCUUCAUGAACGUAUACUGAAUGUAUCCUGAGUGCUAUCUAUCCGGUAUACCUUCAGUAUACGUAACAGGAGGCUGCACAAUCAUCUUUAGUCGGG